rnacentral:rRNA from 1 species
UCAAUAAGCGGAGGAAAAGAAACCAACAGGGAUUGCCUUAGUAACGGCGAGUGAAGCGGCAAAAGCUCAAAUUUGAAAUCUAGCACUUUCAGUGUUCGAGUUGUAAUUUGAAGAAGGUAACUUUGGAAUUGGCUCUUGUCUAUGUUCCUUGGAACAGGACGUCACAGAGGGUGAGAAUCCCGUGCGAUGAGAUGUCCAAUUCUAUGUAAAGUGCUUUCGAAGAGUCGAGUUGUUUGGGAAUGCAGCUCUAAGUGGGUGGUAAAUUCCAUCUAAAGCUAAAUAUUGGCGAGAGACCGAUAGCGAACAAGUACAGUGAUGGAAAGAUGAAAAGAACUUUGAAAAGAGAGUGAAAAAGUACGUGAAAUUGUUGAAAGGGAAGGGCUUGAGAUCAGACUUGGUAUUUUGUGUUCCUUAUUCUUUUUGGAUUUGGUUCCUCACAGCUUACCGGGCCAGCAUCGGUUUGGAUGGUAGGAUAAUGACAUUGGAAUGUAGCUUUGCUUCGGUGAAGUGUUAUAGACUUUGUUGAUACUGCCUAUCUAGACCGAGGACUGCAUCUUUGACUAGGAUGCUGGCGUAUUGUUCUUUCAUCCGCCCGUCUUUGAAUAACAGAACA